rnacentral:rRNA from 1 species
GACAGAGGUGCCUAGCGUUAGGCGGAAUCACUGGGCUUAAAGCGUGUGUAGGCGGGGCGUUAAGUGCUUUGUGAAAUCCCGCGGCUCAACCGUGGAACUGCUGGGGAUACUGGUUGUCUUGAGCCAGCUAGGGGCGAGCGGAACAGACGGUGGAGCGGUGAAAUGCGUAGAUAUCGUCGGGAACGCCGAAGGUGAAAACAGCGCGCUGGGGCUGCGCUGACGCUGAGACACGAAAGCCAGGGGAGCGAACGGG